AACGACUGCAGUCAUUCAGAUCGCUCGAUGGGGCAUGAACUGUGACUUGCUUCGUUGUUCACUUUAGCAGCAUUGUUUCGGUAAAUAAAAAACUAUUAUCUUCAGAAAGAAUGUCCACUGAACCUUCAUGCCUUCGUCAACUUCUCCUGAAGGAGUUCGAGUGUCCGAAAUGUUUGGAGUACAUGCUGCCACCUAUCUUCAUCUGUAAGAACGGCCACAGUAUUUGCGAGAAGUGCAAACUUGAAACACCGCACUGUCCAACUUGCACGGUACCUUUUACAAACAUAAGAUCCGUGUCUCUGGAGAAACUUUCUACAUACAUGGAAUUUCCAUGCAUCUAUCGACGAUCCGGAUGUAAUGAAUCUGUGCGAUCAGAAAACAUAAAUGAACACCAGUCUAUGUGUCCCUAUGGGACAUACAUUUGCCCACUUCAAUGCCCAGGAAGGUUUAAUACAGACCAUCUUUUAGAACAUGUGCAGCAACAGCACAGUAUUGCAUUAAAUUAUUAUGGCGAUGGGUCACAUUAUAAUCAUGUGAUGAAUUAUGACUUGAAGAAAAACUAUGUUAAUUUAAUAACAGCCAAAAGUGAUUAUUUUGUUUCCACAAUAUCUGUUACUAAUAACAUAUGGGAGUUCUUCCUUAUGUACAUAGGCCCAGAGAGCAGAGCGGGACGAUUCUGUUACACGCUGCAAUUUGAUACAGGGAACGUCCAUUUAGCGUCCAUCAAGAUCACUCUUCGGUGUACAAGCAUAAACAAGGGUUUCAAUGAAAUACGCCAGGCAUGCAAGUGCAUUAUAUUACCAGUUGAUGUAAUAAAGAGUUUAAUGAAAGACGGAAACUUGGUUUACUAUUUAAGGAUAGGAAGGGCGCAGUGAAAUUUUUUGGCGCGGCCUCUGAUGUUUUAUCACUCUCGGCCAAUUAUAAAAUCUGACCUAAAUAUGCAAACAAUUUGGAAUUAAUAUUCUGGAAUGAUUUAUGACUUUAAGCAUGACAGCAGUUUCCCAUUCAACAUAAUUAUUUACAUAAAAAUUGGACACAUGAUCAUUCAGAAGUAAUGAAUGUGAAAAAGGGCACACGUUCACACUAACUGAAUAAGCUAAAAUUGGAAAUAGGAUCAUUUUAUAUGCUUUGUAGUAAAUAGUUUCCAAAAUAUGAUAUACACUUCACUUCAUUAUGUAUGUUAAAGUUGGGAACAUGAAAACUGAAUAAAAUUUAUGAGAACUAAACGCGCAAAAAAUUGUAUACAAUGAAAAUAAUUAUGUGUGUUCGAAUUCAAACACUGUCAUUUAAAAUUAGAAAUCAAGGCAAAAAUAAGUAUUCAACAUAAUUCUAUAGUUUCAAGCCUGAAGCAUAAAAAUUCAAUAUAAUUUAUAAAGAAAUGAAUAUUGGCACAUAUUUAAUAUAAUUAUAUAGGCUCGAAAUGGGAACAUAAUUCAAUAUAAUUUUAUGAAUUUAAGGGCCGUAUUGUCUGUAAAUUUUGCAGCUUUAAAUCCAUCGAUUUAUUUAAAUAAUUAUACUGAAGAUGAUAACUUUAUUCUAAAGUCAGAAACUAUGUUUAAUGCGUACCGUAUUCAGGUAGAAAUGGUCAGUUGUAUCGAAUGUCACAUCUUUUCAUCUUUUGUGUGAGGAUAAGUAUCUAUAAUUUUCAUUUCAUGCAUCCUGUUGUGUUACUAUAUACAACUGUAUUGUUGUAUUGUGACAGACUUAAUAAGGUAUUGUACAAGUAUCUAUGAUAUGAGUUUAAAUUCUUUUUAGAAAUGUAACACGGUACACACUAUAGUGAUAAUGAUAUUGCCGUGAUAAUAUGAUGCUUUAAGAGUUUUUGGAAUUUUAGUGACAAUGUAAUGUAAUUUUUUUGCAGUUUCUAGAAUUUCUAUUAAAGUUUCACUUUCAGACUGUUCAGUUAAAA